GUUGAAAUACCGGUUCCCUUACGAUCGCUGAAGUUAAGCAACAUUGAGGCUAAUCAGUAUCGAGAUGGGUAACCGCUAGGGAAUACCAGGUGCUGUAAG